UGGGGAAUAUUGCACAAUGGGCGAAAGCCUGAUGCAGCAACGCCGCGUGAGUGAUGAAGGCCUUCGGGUUGUAAAGCUCUGUCUUUUGGGACGAUAAUGACGGUACCAAAGGAGGAAGCCACGGCUAACUACGUGCCAGCAGCCGCGGUAAUACGUAGGUGGCAAGCGUUGUCCGGAUUUACGGGCGUAAAGGAUGCGUAGGCGGAUUUUUAAGUGAGAUGUGAAAUACCCGGGCUUAACUUGGGUGCUGCAUUUCAAACUGGGAAUCUAGAGUGCGGGAGAGGAGAAUGGAAUUCCUAGUGUAGCGGUGAAAGUGCGUAGAGAUUAGGAAGAACACCAGUGGCGAAGGCGAUUCUCUGGACCGUAACUGACGCUGAGGCAUGAAAGCGUGGGUAGCAAACAGGAUUAGAUACCCUGGUAGUCCACGCCGUAAACGAUGAGUACUAGGUGUAGGAGGUAUCGACCCCUUCUGUGCCGCAGUUAACACAAUAAGUACUCCGCCUGGGAAGUACGAUCGCAAGAUUAAAACUCAAAGGAAUUGACGGGGUCAUAGC
rnacentral:rRNA from 1 species